UUAUGCAAUUAGUUAAAGGAGCGUUUCAUUUGACUGUUCGCUUAUUUCUUAAAAUCGACGACGAGACUAAUGAAACGUCAUCAUCCGCGUGUAAACGGAAGUUCGGUUUGGAGUUUUCUUUGCUAACAGCACGAUGAUAACUGACGUCCAACUAGCCAUUUUUGCUAAUUUAUUGGGAGUUUUAUUGUUCAUGUUGGUGGUAGUCUAUCACCACGUUUCUGUCAACAAUGCAAGAAAAGUGACACUGUAAUAAUAAUAAUA